GCACCCAUAGCUCAGCUGGAUAGAGCAACAGUUUGCGGUACUGUAGGUCGGGCGUUCGAAUCGCUCUGGGUGUACCA
rnacentral:tRNA from 1 species